CUGAGUCCUGGAUGUGCCCUGCUGUCCUCAGCCUCCAGCCUCUGGUCAGGCUCCUCCCUCUGCCCUCAGCCCUUCCAGAGGUGUCCUCAGGGGUGGGCACCGUGUCCUGUUCCUCUCAGCAGCCGGGCCUCAAGCAGGAGCUCGGGAAGUGUUGAGUGAAAGCACCUGCCAUGCUGCUCCCUCCUCAGCUUCUGAGCAGAUCCACAGGGACAGGCUGAUGCCUCCCAACUACCCAGCAUCCUGGGGACUGUUGUGGUCCUGCUGCUGAUCCUGGGAGCUGGACUGUUCCUCUGGAGGACACGAGUGAAGAAGAGCCUGGAGCCUGGGAGAGGCAGGUUGCACUUCUCCUCCCCGGGCCCACACACCUCCCUCCCCUGGACCCUGGACUCCCUUCCUCCUGCC
rnacentral:lncRNA from 1 species